CGUGUAGGCUGCUUGGAAAGUCGGAUGUGAAAGCCCUGGGCUCAACCUAGGAAGUGCAUUCGAAACUUCCAAGCUGGAGUGCUGGAGAGGAAGGCGGAAUUCUCGGUGUAGAGGUGAAAUUCGUAGAUAUCGAGAGGAACACCGGUGGCGAAGGCGGCCUUCUGGACAGUAACUGACGCUGAGACGCGAAAGCGUGGGGAGCAAACA
rnacentral:rRNA from 1 species